rnacentral:rRNA from 1 species
GACGUAGGGCGCGAGCGUUGUCCGGAUUUAUUGGGCGUAAAGAGCUCGUAGGCGGCUCGUUGCGUCGGCUGUGAAAACCCGCAGCUCAACUGUGGGCUUGCAGCUGAUACGGGCGGGCUGGAGUUCGGUAGGGGAGACUGGAAUUCCUGGUGUAGCGGUGAAAUGCGCAGAUAUCAGGAAGAACACCCGUGGCGAAGGCGGCUUUCUGGGACGGUACUGACGCUGGAGACGCGAAAGCGUGGGGAGCGAACAGG